GGGGCAUUAGCUCAGCUGGCUAGAGCGCCUGCUUUGCACGCAGGAGGUCAUCGGUUCGACUCCGAUAUGCUCCACCA
rnacentral:tRNA from 1 species